rnacentral:rRNA from 1 species
AUGGAGCCGGAUGAGCUCCUGAGGAAGAUACGGGUGCUGGAAGAGGGCCAGGAGGAGCUCAAGCGGGAGAUAGGCAAGCUUAUCCCCGGGCAAGGCCACUCCUCCGCGUCUCCGCCUCCGCCUCCGCCUCCGCCUCCGCGCCGCCCCUUCCCCGCGCUGCAGCAGGCUACGUCGUCGAGGGGCCGCGCUCUGGCCUUGCUUCACCAAUCCUCCUCCUCCUCCUCCUCGCGCCCGCAGCGCCCCGGGCUGUCCGACAGGCACUGCCACAGGAUACUGCAGUCGCUGGGGCAGGCCGUGCAUGUCAUUUCCCUUGAAGGCAAGGUCUUGUACUGGAACCGAUUUGCCGAGCAUCUAUAUGGCUAUUGUUCAUCAGAAGCGAUUGGCCAGGAUCUCCUUGAAUUAAUCUGUGAUCCUUGUGAUUUCAGUCCAGCACAUGAGAUUAUCCGUAAUAUAUUUAUGGGCAAGUGUUGGAGAGGGAAGUUUCCUGUCAAGCACAAGUCAGGAGAGCGGUUUUCUGUUGUUGUGAAUAACACUCCUUUAUAUGAUGAAGAUGGUAGCUUGGUGGGCCUCACCUGUCUGUCAGGUGAUGCACGGAUAUUGGAGGAAAUAGUUGGUCCUUCAGUCGUAGGGAAAUCCUAUCCAAAUUCAGCAAAGCCCCAUUUACAAGUUAACAACAAGCCUAAAAGUGGCUUGCCACAAAAAUGUUUGUCAGACUCCCAAGAACCUCUACAAUCUGCCAUCACGUCUAAGAUAACAAAUUUGGCUACAAAGGUUACAAGUAGAGUUCGUUCUCGGAUCAGGUCAGGUCAGAGUUGCGACGAACAGGAUGGUAAUGGUCGCCAGGGUCAGUAUUCUGAUCAUGAUGCCAGGGAAGAGUUGACAUCAAGUGAAGCAAGCACCCCAGGUGGGGAUGUACUGCAUGGUACCUUUGUUACCGAAGAGAAAUCACCUGUAAACUCAAGAAAAACAAAUAGUGAUGAUUCAGGACAAGGAAAAGGAGGAUUUCAGAAGAUUUUUAGUUCAAAGGCAGAGGCAUUAUUGACCAAGAAGGGGAUAUCAUGGCCUUGGAAAGGAAAUGAAAACGAUGGUGGUUGUGGAAAGAAUAACAUGACUUCACCACCGUUACAUGAUAAGCAAGAGAACACUCAGAUUCGUCAGGGAGUACCAGUUCUAGAGCCUAUCAUAAUUCCAGACAGCAAGGACACUGAAUACGCCCAGGCAGGCAAAUAUGAGGUAUCAGGUUCCUGGUGGACUUUCAACAAUAACAGCACAAGUAGUACCAUGAGCAGCACUGUAAGUAGUAACAGCAGUCCUAUCGAGAGAGUAGAUUAUGAAGCAGACUGCCUAGAUUAUGAGAUCUUGUGGGAAGACCUAACACUUGGAGAACAAGUAGGUGAAGGUUCUUGCGGAACAGUGUAUCAUGCUUUGUGGUAUGGAUCGGAUGUGGCAGUUAAAGUAUUCUCCAGGCAGGAAUAUUCAGAAGAAAUGAUACGUACCUUCAGACAAGAGGUGUCACUGAUGAAGAAGCUACGUCAUCCCAAUAUUAUACUUUUCAUGGGUGCAGUUGCUUCUCAGGAACGGCUUUGUAUUGUUACGGAAUUUCUCCCACGAGGGAGCUUGUUUCGCUUACUACGAAAAACCACUGGCAAGUUGGAUCCAAGACGGCGAGUUCACAUGGCUAUAGACAUCGCAAGGGGCAUGAAUUAUCUUCACAGUUCCAGCCCCACCGUUGUACAUCGUGAUCUAAAAUCGUCAAAUCUGUUGGUUGAUAAGAACUGGACUGUUAAGGUUGCGGACUUUGGUCUUUCACGCCUCAAAAUCGAAACAUUCCUGACUACAAAAACUGGGAAAGGAACACCACAGUGGAUGGCUCCAGAAGUGCUACGUAAUGAACCUUCAAAUGAAAAGUCUGACGUGUACAGCUACGGAGUGGUCCUAUGGGAGCUUGUUACUCAGAAGAUUCCUUGGGAUACUCUCAAUACAAUGCAGGUUAUCGGAGCUGUGGGUUUCAUGGACCACAGAUUGGAAAUUCCGAGUGACAUAGAUCCUCAGUGGGUAUCAAUGAUUGAGAGUUGUUGGGACAGUGACCCACAGCGCCGCCCUUCAUUCCAAGAACUCCUGGAGAGGCUCCGUGAGCUGCAAAAGAAACACGCCCUGCAGGUGCAGAUGCAGCGGAGCGCGGCUGGGAAAGGCGCUGAAAAGAUGAGCGUUGAUGAUGGCUAG